UUAAGGAUGGCGUUAAUCUUGCCAGCGUGGAGCUUACGUGGACACACGCGCGCCUCAUACGCCCGUUGGCUGUAUUACCUUCCACAGACUUCACUCGGCGAUGCACAGGCAUUCCAUUCCUCAAUUUCACAGCUCUGCCAGAUCAAAAAUUUCAGUCUAACAUGAGGCCAUUAACCCUAACCCUAACAUUUCCACCGCAUCCCUGCCAUUUUCACCGGUACUCUGCCUCCGCCAUUUCUCUAAAUCUGCACCAAAACCUCAAUUCUCGCCGAAGAUUGGCUCGCACCUGCCGCGUAAAAUGUUUCAGGAGCGAAAAUUUGGAGGAGACGGAUACAUUUUCAAAAUAUUCGGGGUAUUUAUUCGAAGCAGGUAGCUCAGAGGCAGAGCUUUUAAAUGAAUACGAUGCCACCAAAAUUGGUUCUAUUUAUCGUCGGCGGCCGGUUCUUCUUUUCCGACGGCUAUUGCAGAUAGGAUCCAGCUUUGGACGUUGGUUCUUCCUGCGCUAUAUUGAUAAUGUCCUCGGGCGUUCUGAUUACAUGUUUAAGGAAAGGGCAGCUGAACUUCGAUCUGUGUUAGUACGACUUGGGCCUGCAUAUGUUAAAGUUGCUCAAGCUAUCUCCUCGCGUCCUGCAUCAAAUGGAGAUCUCGGAGUUGGAAAAUCAAGCCAAGUCUCCUCCAAGAGGAUCAAGCAAGGACAAGGGCGACCUCCUCCAGUCAAGCAUCGACAAGGACGGCCUUCUUCGGUCAAGCAUCAUCAAGAAUACCUUCUUCCAAUCCAGCAUUACAAGGCGAGACAUUUUUCACAGGAUGUAGUACCUCCUGCAUAUCUUGAGGAGCUAUCAUUGUUGCAAGAUCGCAUUGCACCAUUCUCAACAGAUAUAGCUCUAGAUAUAAUAGAAGAAGAGCUUGGAUUACCUGUGGAGCAUAUUUUUUCUGACAUAUCUCUCCAACCAAUUGCUGCAGCUUCAUUAGGCCAGGUUUAUCAGGCUAGGCUUAGAUCGAAUGGGGAAAUUGUUGCUGUAAAAGUUCAACGACCUGGGGUUCGUGCAGCCAUUGCUUUAGACAUAUUCAUUCUCCGGUUGCUUGUUGGUUAUGUUCGCAAAGCUGUCAAUCUGAACACAGACCUUCAGGCUGUAGUUGAUGAAUGGGCAUCAAGUCUUUUCCGGGAGAUGGACUAUGAGGCAGAAGCUCAAAAUGGUUUAAGAUUUAGACAACUUUUUGGGAGAUUGCCUGAUGUAGUUAUACCAAAAAUGUACAAGGAGCUAUCAAGUUGUCGAGUGCUUGUUAUGGAAUGGGUUGAGGGUCAAAAACUAUCAGAAGUAAAAGAUCUUCACCUAGUGGAGGUGGGAGUGUACUGCUCUUUGACCCAGCUACUAGAAUGUGGAUUUUAUCAUGCCGAUCCACAUCCUGGCAACCUUCUACGUACUUAUGAUGGGAAAUUGGCAUACUUAGAUUUUGGAAUGAUGGGUGAAUUUAACCAAGAUUUAAGAGAAGGACUAAUUGAAGCUUGUUUGCACCUGGUCAACCGAGAGUUUGAUGACUUGGCUGGAGAUUUUAUCACUCUUGGGUUGCUUCCUCCAACUGCUCGAAUGAGUGAUGUUGCAAAAGCCUUGACAGAUGUUUUCCAGAAUGCAGUGAGUAAAGGAGUUCGAAACAUAGAUUUUGGAGAUUUAUCAGGAAAUUUGGGGCGGACAAUGUACAAAUACAAGUUUCAGAUACCUUCAUAUUUCUCACUAGUUAUUCGAAGUUUGGCAGUUUUGGAGGGCGUUGCACUUUCCAGUGAUCCAAAUUACAAGGUCUUGAGUACUUCAUAUCCAUGGAUUGCACGCAAAAUCCUCACUGAUAAUUCCCCUCAACUCAGAUCAACACUACAAUCUCUUUUGUACAAGGAUGGCACAUUCAGGAUUGAUCGUUUAGAGUCUUUGGUUUCUGAGUCUCUACGGUCAACAACAGAUGACACUUUAACAGGACCACAAAAAACUGAUAACGAGUCCGUGCUGAUGCGUAAUCGCAUCCUUACCUUUACCCUAAGUGAGAAGGGUGACUUCGUGAGGGAGAUUUUUCUUGAAGAGCUGGCCAAGGGUAUUGAUGCACUUAAUCGAUCGGCAUUUGAGAGAACUGCAUCUAAUGUUAUUGCAAACUUGCCCAUGGCUCCUCCAUUUACCUUACACUUUGUGGAGGAUGAAGACAUAAUAAACUUGAAAACCUUGCGGCGCCUCAUCCUAUUGUUGUCAAAUGGAUUUGUAGAAAAUAUGAACCACGGUGCAGAAGAAGCGGAUGUUCUACUGAAAGAAAACAAUGUUCAAAAGACAUGGGAAGAGGCUAUAAUUGUUCUUCAACAAGUAAACUCUUUUGAGAAGCUUUUACCCAUGCUUUCAGUCUUUCUGGAGCUUCCACGUUCAGCUCAGCAGCAAGCAUUCGUUUUGCCAGUGGAUCUGGCUGGAAAGCUAGCCUCACGCACUUUAGCAAGAACCAUUAGAAGUUUUGUGCGUUAAGUUGGCUAUUGUGGUAGGUGAGUAGCCCCUAUAGUAAUUACAGCCCACUAAUCAUGGCUUCUCAUCAGCCAAUUAACAAUGAUCAAUAAAAGAUUUUGGCAUGGCAGGUAACAUAUCGAUUGAUAAUAGUGUAUUCCUUAAGGGAUCUACUUUCAACUUCAUGUCUGAGAUAGUUUUUCCUUGCGACAGUGCAAAAGAAACACGGCAGGGGACAAGUGAGGAUUGCAACCUCGUGAAAGAUUUUUGAAUUCAAUCUACAUUGGCUGGAUGAUAUUUAACAAAAUAAAACCACAAUUAAAACCUUUCCACAUAAUAGAGUAUUGUAAAUAGAGACAUUCAGGGUGAUGAUAUAAGUGUAAAUAACUGCUGUGGCUAGUAAGUUCCUUAAAUCAACGGGCAUGGUAAACUGUACGCCUAUUUAGUUAAAGAUAUGUACCAUAAUGUUGUAUUAUAGCAUAGCCACAUUGCAUUAUUUAAACGAGUUAUGUUUAUUUUAUUUUCAAGUCUACUCAGGUAUGUGCUAAGUUGUUUUCCAAAGUUUCAUCAUUUGUUGCAUUA